CUCACCUGUAUGUUGGUGUUUACCAUUAUUGCUGCCGUCCUUGGAAUGUUCCAAUUUGGCUACAACACUGGAGUUAUUAACGCCCCUCAAAAGUUCUUCGGUGUAAUCUGAUGUUCAAGCUUUUGUAGUGAAGGACGAGCUCAGGAAGAAGGACCAGUUGGUUUCAAGAAGGUUUAUUUCUCAGGGAAACUGACCUUAUAUUUGUUGUUCAGGCUUCUGUAGUGAAGAACGAGCUUAGGAGGAAGGACCAGUUGGUCACAAGAAAGAUUACUUCUAAGGGAAACUGGCCUUAUAUUUAUUGGCCAUAAUUUGACUAAUAAACUCAUGUUUUUGUUGUUAAUUUGAAAUUGUGCAUUCAAUUCAGUAAGAUUGAGUUACCAAUG